CCUACGGGGGGCAGCAGUGAGGAAUAUUGGUCAAUGGCCGGAAGGCUGAACCAGCCAAGCCGCGUGAAGGACGAAGGUGCCAAGCAUUGUAAACUUCUUUUGUCAAGGGACAAAAUCAGGCUCGAGAGCCUGACCGAGGGUACUUGAAGAAAAAGCAUCGGCUCACUCGGUGCCAGCAGCCGCGGUAAUACGGAGGAUGCGAGCGUUAUCCGGAUUUAUUUGGUUUAAGGGGUGCGUGGGGGGACAGUUACGUCAGCGGGAAAGGCCCGGGGCUCAACCCCGGCGAGCCGUUGAAACUGGCUGUCUUGAGAUGUCGAGAGGUAGGCGGAAUGCGCAGUGUAGCGGUGAAAUGCUUAGAUAUUGCGAAGAACUCCGAUUGCGAAGGCAGCAUACCGGCGGCGAUCUGACGCUGAGGCACGAAAGCGUGGGUAUCGAACAGGAUUAGAUACCCCAGUAGUC
rnacentral:rRNA from 1 species